rnacentral:snRNA from 1 species
GUGCUCGCUUUGGCUGCACAUAUACUAAAAUUGGAA